rnacentral:rRNA from 1 species
AUUGAACGCUGGCGGCAUGCCUUACACAUGCAAGUCGAACGGCAGCACGGGUGCUUGCACCUGGUGGCGAGUGGCGAACGGGUGAGUAAUAUAUCGGAACGUACCUUAUUGUGGGGGAUAACGCAGCGAAAGCUGUGCUAAUACCGCAUAAUCCCUAAGGGGGAAAGCGGGGGACCGUAAGGCCUCGCGCAAUUAGAGCGGCCGAUACCUGAUUAGCUAGUUGGUGAGGUAAAGGCUCACCAAGGCAACGAUCAGUAGCUGGUCUGAGAGGAUGAUCAGCCACACUGGGACUGAGACACGGCCCAGACUCCUACGGGAGGCAGCAGUGGGGAAUUUUGGACAAUGGGGGCAACCCUGAUCCAGCAAUGCCGCGUGAGUGAAGAAGGCCUUCGGGUUGUAAAGCCCUUUUGUCAGGGAAGAAACAGCAGCUCUAACACAGUAUGCGAAUGACGGUACCUGAAGAAUAAGCACCGGCUAACUACGUGCCAGCCGCCGCCGUAA